rnacentral:tRNA from 1 species
GGGUUGGCUCAGUGGUUAGAGCUUAGGUCUCGUAACCGAAAGAUCGCGGGAUCGAAUCCCGCUAGAGGCUCA